GAUGAACGCUGGCGGCGUGCUUAACACAUGCGAGUCGAACGGAAAGGCUCCUGCUUGCAGGGGUACUCGAGUGGCGAACGGGUGAGUAACACGUGGGUGAUCUGCCCUGCACUUCGGGAUAAGCCUGGGAAACUGGGUCUAAUACCGGAUAGGACGAUGGUUUGGAUGCCAUUGUGGAAAGUUUUUCGGUGUGGGAUGAGCUCGCGGCCUAUCAGCUUGUUGGUGGGGUAAUGGCCUACCAAGGCGUCGACGGGUAGCCGGCCUGAGAGGGUGUACGGCCACAUUGGGACUGAGAUACGGCCCAGACUCCUACGGGAGGCAGCAGUGGGGAAUAUUGCACAAUGGGCGCAAGCCUGAUGCAGCGACGCCGCGUGGGGGAUGACGGCCUUCGGGUUGUAAACUCCUUUCGCUAGGGACGAAGCGCAAGUGACGGUACCUGGAGAAGAAGCACCGGCUAACUACGUG
rnacentral:rRNA from 1 species